rnacentral:rRNA from 1 species
UUAAGUUAUUAAGGGCGCACGGUGGAUGCCUUGGCACUAGAAGCCGAUGAAGGACGUUACUAACGACGAUAUGCUUUGGGGAGCUGUAAGUAAGCUUUGAUCCAGAGAUUUCCGAAUGGGGAAACCCAGCAUGAGUUAUGUCAUGUUAUCGAUAUGUGAAUACAUAGCAUAUCAGAAGGCACACCCGGAGAACUGAAACAUCUUAGUACCCGGAGGAAGAGAAAGAAAAUUCGAUUCCCUUAGUAGCGGCGAGCGAAACGGGAAGAGCCCAAACCAACAAACUUGCUUGUUGGGGUUGUAGGACACUCUAUACGGAGUUACAAAGGACGACAUUAGACGAAUCAUCUGGAAAGAUGAAUCAAAGAAGGUAAUAAUCCUGUAGUCGAAAAUGUUGUCUCUCUUGAGUGGAUCCUGAGUACGACGGAGCACGUGAAAUUCCGUCGGAAUCUGGGAGGACCAUCUCCUAAGGCUAAAUACUCUCUAGUGACCGAUAGUGAACCAGUACCGUGAGGGAAAGGUGAAAAGCACCCCGGAAGGGGAGUGAAAUAGAACCUGAAACCGUGUGCUUACAAGUAGUCAGAGCCCGUUAAUGGGUGAUGGCGUGCCUUUUGUAGAAUGAACCGGCGAGUUACGAUUUGAUGCAAGGUUAAGCAGUAAAUGUGGAGCCGUAGCGAAAGCGAGUCUGAAUAGGGCGUUUAGUAUUUGGUCGUAGACCCGAAACCAGGUGAUCUACCCUUGGUCAGGUUGAAGUUCAGGUAACACUGAAUGGAGGACCGAACCGACUUACGUUGAAAAGUGAGCGGAUGAACUGAGGGUAGCGGAGAAAUUCCAAUCGAACCUGGAGAUAGCUGGUUCUCUCCGAAAUAGCUUUAGGGCUAGCCUCAAGUGAUGAUUAUUGGAGGUAGAGCACUGUUUGGACGAGGGGCCCCUCUCGGGUUACCGAAUUCAGACAAACUCCGAAUGCCAAUUAAUUUAACUUGGGAGUCAGAACAUGGGUGAUAAGGUCCGUGUUCGAAAGGGAAACAGCCCAGACCACCAGCUAAGGUCCCAAAAUAUAUGUUAAGUGGAAAAGGAUGUGGCGUUGCCCAGACAACUAGGAUGUUGGCUUAGAAGCAGCCAUCAUUUAAAGAGUGCGUAAUAGCUCACUAGUCGAGUGACACUGCGCCGAAAAUGUACCGGGGCUAAACAUAUUACCGAAGCUGUGGAUUGUCCUUUGGACAAUGGUAGGAGAGCGUUCUAAGGGCGUUGAAGCAUGAUCGUAAGGACAUGUGGAGCGCUUAGAAGUGAGAAUGCCGGUGUGAGUAGCGAAAGACGGGUGAGAAUCCCGUCCACCGAUUGACUAAGGUUUCCAGAGGAAGGCUCGUCCGCUCUGGGUUAGUCGGGUCCUAAGCUGAGGCCGACAGGCGUAGGCGAUGGAUAACAGGUUGAUAUUCCUGUACCACCUAUAAUCGUUUUAAUCGAUGGGGGGACGCAGUAGGAUAGGCGAAGCGUGCGAUUGGAUUGCACGUCUAAGCAGUAAGGCUGAGUAUUAGGCAAAUCCGGUACUCGUUAAGGCUGAGCUGUGAUGGGGAGAAGACAUUGUGUCUUCGAGUCGUUGAUUUCACACUGCCGAGAAAAGCCUCUAGAUAGAAAAUAGGUGCCCGUACCGCAAACCGACACAGGUAGUCAAGAUGAGAAUUCUAAGGUGAGCGAGCGAACUCUCGUUAAGGAACUCGGCAAAAUGACCCCGUAACUUCGGGAGAAGGGGUGCUCUUUAGGGUUAACGCCCAGAAGAGCCGCAGUGAAUAGGCCCAAGCGACUGUUUAUCAAAAACACAGGUCUCUGCUAAACCGUAAGGUGAUGUAUAGGGGCUGACGCCUGCCCGGUGCUGGAAGGUUAAGAGGAGUGGUUAGCUUCUGCGAAGCUACGAAUCGAAGCCCCAGUAAACGGCGGCCGUAACUAUAACGGUCCUAAGGUAGCGAAAUUCCUUGUCGGGUAAGUUCCGACCCGCACGAAAGGCGUAACGAUUUGGGCACUGUCUCAACGAGAGACUCGGUGAAAUCAUAGUACCUGUGAAGAUGCAGGUUACCCGCGACAGGACGGAAAGACCCCGUGGAGCUUUACUGUAGCCUGAUAUUGAAAUUCGGCACAGCUUGUACAGGAUAGGUAGGAGCCUUUGAAACGUGAGCGCUAGCUUACGUGGAGGCGCUGGUGGGAUACUACCCUAGCUGUGUUGGCUUUCUAACCCGCACCACUUAUCGUGGUGGGAGACAGUGUCAGGCGGGCAGUUUGACUGGGGCGGUCGCCUCCUAAAAGGUAACGGAGGCGCUCAAAGGUUCCCUCAGAAUGGUUGGAAAUCAUUCAUAGAGUGUAAAGGCAUAAGGGAGCUUGACUGCGAGACCUACAAGUCGAGCAGGGUCGAAAGACGGACUUAGUGAUCCGGUGGUUCCGCAUGGAAGGGCCAUCGCUCAACGGAUAAAAGCUACCCCGGGGAUAACAGGCUUAUCUCCCCCAAGAGUUCACAUCGACGGGGAGGUUUGGCACCUCGAUGUCGGCUCAUCGCAUCCUGGGGCUGUAGUCGGUCCCAAGGGUUGGGCUGUUCGCCCAUUAAAGCGGUACGCGAGCUGGGUUCAGAACGUCGUGAGACAGUUCGGUCCCUAUCCGUCGUGGGCGUAGGAAAUUUGAGAGGAGCUGUCCUUAGUACGAGAGGACCGGGAUGGACAUACCUCUGGUGUACCAGUUGUCGUGCCAACGGCAUAGCUGGGUAGCUAUGUGUGGACGGGAUAAGUGCUGAAAGCAUCUAAGCAUGAAGCCCCCCUCAAGAUGAGAUUUCCCAACUUCGGUUAUAAGAUCCCUCAAAGAUGAUGAGGUUAAUAGGUUCGAGGUGGAAGCAUGGUGACAUGUGGAGCUGACGAAUACUAAUCGAUCGAAGACUUAAUCAA